GAUGAAGAACGUAGCGAAAUGCGAUACGUAAUGUGAAUUGCAGAAUUCAGUGAAUCAUCGAGUCUUUGAACGCACAUUGCGCCCCCUGGUAUUCCGGGGGGCAUGCCUGUCCGAGCGUCAUUGCUGCCCUCAAGCACGGCUUGUGUGUUGGGCCUCCGUCCUCCUCCCGGGGGACAGGCCCGAAAGGCAGCGGCGGCACCGCGUCCGGUCCUCGAGCGUAUGGGGCUUCGUCACCCGCUCUUGUAGGCCCGGCCGGCGCUUGCCGACACAUCAAUCUUUUUUCCAGGUUGACCUCGGAUCAGGUAGGGAUACCCGCUGAACUUAAGCAUAUCAAUAAGCGGAGGA
rnacentral:misc_RNA from 1 species